CGGUCCGGGACUGGAGUGCUGACAUCCAAUUUGCAGUGGCGGCGAGGAGGAGAGGCGACGGUCAUGGCGCUCGGUGGAGCAGUUGAAUGAAAGUGGUGUCCUCCUGUCAACUGCGUUGGUGCAUGUCAGGUCCAGGGAGGAGUGACGGCAAGGAUGGCUUCAUGGUGGUGACGACGAUAAUGAGGCAAAGCACAGAUUCUGGGGAGACUUGGCACAGCAAGCCAAAGUUUGCGCAUGUUUCAAACGGAAUGUUGAGAAGCAUCGAUUUAAUAGUAAUUUAGUUACUAAGAGACAAUAUGUUGUUGAGCUAUCAGUGUAAUAGUAACUUGGUUACUAUGAGAAACUUUGUGGCAAGAUCAAUAUGUUAUGUGAGAACCAUCGGUGUAAGAGUAAUUUAUUUACUAAGAGAAAUCUCGUGGCGAUACCAA